rnacentral:rRNA from 1 species
GACGUAGGAUGCAAGCGUUGUCCGGAAUUAUUGGGCGUAAAGAGUUCGUAGGCGGUUACUUAAGUCUGGUGUUAAAGACGGGAGCUCAACUCCCGCAUGGCAUCGGAAACUGGGUGGCUAGAGUGCGGUAGAGGUCUCGGGAAUUCCAGGUGUAGCGGUGAAAUGCGUAGAUAUCUGGAGGAACACCGGUGGCGAAAGCGCGAGACUGGGCCGUAACUGACGCUGAGGAACGAAAGCCAGGGGAGCGAAAGGG